GUGCCAGCAGCCGCGGUAAUACGUAGGUGGCAAGCGUUAUCCGGAAUUAUUGGGCGUAAAGCGCGCGUAGGCGGUUUUUUAAGUCUGAUGUGAAAGCCCACGGCUCAACCGUGGAGGGUCAUUGGAAACUGGAAAACUUGAGUGCAGAAGAGGAGAGUGGAAUUCCAUGUGUAGCGGUGAAAUGCGCAGAGAUAUGGAGGAACACCAGUGGCGAAGGCGACUUUCUGGUCUGUAACUGACGCUGAUGUGCGAAAGCGUGGGGAUCAAACAGG
rnacentral:rRNA from 1 species